CAUAGGUUAAUGAGGCGAACCGGGGGAACUGAAACAUCUAAGUACCCCGAGGAAAAGAAAUCAACCGAGAUUCCCCCAGUAGCGGCGAGCGAACGGGGAGCAGCCCAGAGCCUGAAUCAGUAUGUGUGUUAGUGGAAGCGUCUGGAAAGGCGCGCGAUACAGGGUGACAGCCCCGUACACAAAAAUGCACAUGCUGUGAGCUCGAUGAGUAGGGCGGGACACGUGGUAUCCUGUCUGAAUAUGGGGGGACCAUCCUCCAAGGCUAAAUACUCCUGACUGACCGAUAGUGAACCAGUACCGUGAGGGAAAGGCGAAAAGAACCCCGGCGAGGGGAGUGAAAAAGAACCUGAAACCGUGUACGUACAAGCAGUGGGAGCACGCUUAGGCGUGUGACUGCGUACCUUUUGUAUAAUGGGUCAGCGACUUAUAUUCUGUAGCAAGGUUAACCGAAUAGGGGAGCCGAAGGGAAACCGAGUCUUAACUGGGCGUUAAGUUGCAGGGUAUAGACCCGAAACCCGGUGAUCUAGCCAUGGGCAGGUUGAAGGUUGGGUAACACUAACUGGAGGACCGAACCGACUAAUGUUGAAAAAUUAGCGGAUGACUUGUGGCUGGGGGUGAAAGGCCAAUCAAACCGGGAGAUAGCUGGUUCUCCCCGAAAGCUAUUUAGGUAGCGCCUCGUGAAUUCAUCUCCGGGGGUAGAGCACUGUUUCGGCAAGGGGGUCAUCCCGACUUACCAACCCGAUGCAAACUGCGAAUACCGGAGAAUGUUAUCACGGGAGACACACGGCGGGUGCUAACGUCCGUCGUGAAGAGGGAAACAACCCAGACCGCCAGCUAAGGUCCCAAAGUCAUGGUUAAGUGGGAAACGAUGUGGGAAGGCCCAGACAGCCAGGAUGUUGGCUUAGAAGCAGCCAUCAUUUAAAGAAAGCGUAAUAGCUCACUGGUCGAGUCGGCCUGCGCGGAAGAUGUAACGGGGCUAAACCAUGCACCGAAGCUGCGGCAGCGACGCUGAUGCGUUGUUGGGUAGGGGAGCGUUCUGUAAGCCUGCGAAGGUGUGCUGUGAGGCAUGCUGGAGGUAUCAGAAGUGCGAAUGCUGACAUAAGUAACGAUAAAGCGGGUGAAAAGCCCGCUCGCCGGAAGACCAAGGGUUCCUGUCCAACGUUAAUCGGGGCAGGGUGAGUCGACCCCUAAGGCGAGGCCGAAAGGCGUAGUCGAUGGGAAACAGGUUAAUAUUCCUGUACUUGGUGUUACUGCGAAGGGGGGACGGAGAAGGCUAUGUUGGCCGGGCGACGGUUGUCCCGGUUUAAGCGUGUAGGCUGGUUUUCCAGGCAAAUCCGGAAAAUCAAGGCUGAGGCGUGAUGACGAGGCACUACGGUGCUGAAGCAACAAAUGCCCUGCUUCCAGGAAAAGCCUCUAAGCAUCAGGUAACAUCAAAUCGUACCCCAAACCGACACAGGUGGUCAGGUAGAGAAUACCAAGGCGCUUGAGAGAACUCGGGUGAAGGAACUAGGCAAAAUGGUGCCGUAACUUCGGGAGAAGGCACGCUGAUAUGUAGGUGAAGUCCCUCGCGGAUGGAGCUGAAAUCAGUCGAAGAUACCAGCUGGCUGCAACUGUUUAUUAAAAACACAGCACUGUGCAAACACGAAAGUGGACGUAUACGGUGUGACGCCUGCCCGGUGCCGGAAGGUUAAUUGAUGGGGUUAGCGCAAGCGAAGCUCUUGAUCGAAGCCCCGGUAAACGGCGGCCGUAACUAUAACGGUCCUAAGGUAGCGAAAUUCCUUGUCGGGUAAGUUCCGACCUGCACGAAUGGCGUAAUGAUGGCCAGGCUGUCUCCACCCGAGACUCAGUGAAAUUGAACUCGCUGUGAAGAUGCAGUGUACCCGCGGCAAGACGGAAAGACCCCGUGAACCUUUACUAUAGCUUGACACUGAACAUUGAGCCUUGAUGUGUAGGAUAGGUGGGAGGCUUUGAAGUGUGGACGCCAGUCUGCAUGGAGCCGACCUUGAAAUACCACCCUUUAAUGUUUGAUGUUCUAACGUUGACCCGUAAUCCGGGUUGCGGACAGUGUCUGGUGGGUAGUUUGACUGGGGCGGUCUCCUCCUAAAGAGUAACGGAGGAGCACGAAGGUUGGCUAAUCCUGGUCGGACAUCAGGAGGUUAGUGCAAUGGCAUAAGCCAGCUUGACUGCGAGCGUGACGGCGCGAGCAGGUGCGAAAGCAGGUCAUAGUGAUCCGGUGGUUCUGAAUGGAAGGGCCAUCGCUCAACGGAUAAAAGGUACUCCGGGGAUAACAGGCUGAUACCGCCCAAGAGUUCAUAUCGACGGCGGUGUUUGGCACCUCGAUGUCGGCUCAUCACAUCCUGGGGCUGAAGUAGGUCCCAAGGGUAUGGCUGUUCGCCAUUUAAAGUGGUACGCGAGCUGGGUUUAGAACGUCGUGAGACAGU
rnacentral:rRNA from 1 species